AGUGAACGCUGGCGGUAGGCCUAACACAUGCAAGUCGAACGGCAGCACAGUAAGAGCUUGCUCUUACGGGUGGCGAGUGGCGGACGGGUGAGGAAUACAUCGGAAUCUACUUUUUCGUGGGGGAUAACGUAGGGAAACUUACGCUAAUACCGCAUACGACCUACGGGUGAAUGAAGGGGAUCUUCGGACCUUGCGCGGUUGAAUGAGCCGAUGUCGGAUUAGCUAGUUGGCGGGGUAAAGGCCCACCAAGGCGACGACCCGUAGCUGGUCUGAGAGGAUGAUCAGCCACACUGGAACUGAGACACGGUCCAGACUCCUACGGGAGGCAGCAGUGGGGAAUAUUGGACAAUGGGCGCAAGCCUGAUCCAGCCAUACCGCGUGGGUGAAGAAGGCCUUCGGGUUGUAAAGCCCUGUUGCUGGGAAAGAAAAGCAGCAGGUUAAUCCCCCGCUGUUCUGACGGUACCCAAAGAAUAAGCACCGGCUAACUUCGUG
rnacentral:rRNA from 1 species